GUUUGAGUAACGCGCGUUAUAUAAGCCAUUCAUGAAGCGACAAAUUCGAAUUUCUCUCACUGUGAGAAAGAAACGGAAAUGCCGACCGCGUGGCAAGCGUUUUGAAGGACUAUUUGUUCUGGAGGCAAUUCUCUUUAUCAGGCGUUUAGCGAAGGAGGCGGCGUUAGAAGCGAAGAGAAAGAAAGCACUAACCAUAACGCGGGAGAUGGUGUCUACAGCCGCAAGGAGAGGUUUAAAGUCAAUGAAAGGAUGAAGGACAUUAGAAACCACACGUACUAUGUAUGUAUGUAUGUAUUCAUUCAGUAGCAGCAACAAUCAUCGACGAGUUCUGAGACAUAUGGAGAAGAUAUUGUAAUGACUUAAGUCAAAACUGAAAUUUAAAAAAUUAUAAAAAUAAUAAAAUGUAUUUUGUGUGUUUGGAUAUUUGGACAUGUGAUUUUAGUUGUAAUGAUUCGUCUUGUGUGGACUCAGUAACGUCACAACUAUGAUUGAUAU